AUGAGCAGUGAUCCUGUCCUAGUGAGUCACAGGCAGGUCUUCCUAUAUGGGACCAGGGACUCUCAGAACUCCUACCUCUCAAGGAGCAGAGGUAGGCUUAAAACUUUGAACAGAGAAAUGCCUUCUUCCUGUUCUGGCCCUUCCAUGGUUCUUAGACUCCUUCACUGUGUGAUCUUCUGUCUUCUUGGAGCAGCUUGUGUGGAUGCGAUGGUCAUGCAGAACCCAAGAUACAAGGUUGCUAGGGUUGGAAAACCAGUGGAUCUGAGCUGCUAUCAGAGUCUGAAUCAUGAUGCCAUGUACUGGUACCAACAGAAACCAAACCAAGCACCAAAGCUUCUGCUCUACUACUAUGAUACAACAUUGAACAGGGAGGCAGACACUUCUGAAAACUUCCAAUCCAACCGGCCUAACACUUCUUUCUGCUCUCUUGGCAUCCGCUCUGCAGGCCAAGGGGAUUCUUCCAUGACCCUGGCUCUAAGUGCUGUCCUGGCAGUUUCAUUAGUAAACUCCCUCUUCUGCCCACUUCACUGGUUCUGCCUCUUUGCCCUUCAGCCAUCAGAGGUGACUAUAUCCGGUGAGAUGCACACUUUUGGACAGGCCAGUGAAGAGCCUGAGGGCUAUCUUGUAGUCUAG